rnacentral:lncRNA from 1 species
GGCUGCUCCUGCGGCAUGUGGAGGUUCCCAGGCUAGGGGUCUAAUUGGAGCUGUAGCCACAGGCCUACACCACAGCCACAGCAACAUGGGAUCCGAGCCACGUCUGCAACCUACACCACAACUCACGGCAACGCCAGAUCCUCAACCCACUGAGCGAGGCCAGGGAUCGAACCCACAACCUCAUGGUUCCCAGUCGGAUUCGUUAACCACUGCGCCACAACGGGAACUCCUUUUUUAUUUUUUGCAUAUAUUCUUUUUGAUAUUAUUUUCCGCUACGGUUUAUUACAGGAUAUUGAGUAUAGUUCCCUGUGCUAUACAGUAGGACUCUGUUGUGUAUCCAAGUUAUAUAUUAUCUCAAACUCCUAAUAUCUCCCUCCCUCAUCCCCUUUCCCCUUUGGUUACUGUAAGUUUGUUUCCUGUCUGUGAAUUUGUUUCCAUUUGGUAAACAGGUUCAUUUGUGUCAUAUUUUAGAUCCUACAAAUAAGUGAUAUCAAUAGUAUUUGUCUUUCUCUUUCUGACUUACUCCACUUAGUAUGAUAAUGUCUAGGUCCACUCAUGUUGCUGCAAAUAUAUUAUGUGAUAUAUACAGAUAUAUUACAUCUUCUCUGUCCAGUCCCCUGUUGGUGGACAUGGAGGUUGCUUCCAUGUCUUGGCUAUUGUAAAUAGUGCUGCAGUGAACAUUGAGAUGCAUGUAUCAUUUCAAAUUAGCAUUUUCUGGAUAUAUGUCCAGGAGUGGGAUUGCUAGAUCCUAUGGCAAUGUUAUUUUUAGUGUUUUAAGGAACCCUCCGUCCUGUUCUCUAUAGUGGCCACACCAAUUUACAUUCCUGCCAGCAGUGUAGAAGGAUUGCCUUUUCUCCCCACCCUCUCCAGCAUUUGUUUGUAGACUUUUUAAUGACGUUAAGGAGAAUUUCUUUGGCCUGACCUCUCCAUCUUUCCCCUCCUCUAUCGCUGCACCUCUCAAGGCACUCAAGGCCCAACUUACCCCAGACUUCCUCCCUCCCGGAAGGGUCUCCUGACCUCUCCAGCCUCAUAGCCCGCUCGCACUGACCUCCAACCAGCCUGCUGCAAAGCUCUAGGCUCACAUUUAGGGCGUUCCUGCCUCCUGUCAGUCACCGAGGCUGGUAAGUGCUCCCACAUGCCCACUCCCUGAAAGACAGACGAGGCAACCCCAUUGAAAGGGAAGACACAGGCUCAGCGAGGUUCCGUAACGUCCCCCAGAUUACCUAGCUGGUUAGUGAAAUAACCGAGACUUAAAUUCAAGACUGACAACCGACCUCAAAACCUUUGCUCUAAACCAGGUGCCAGCAAACUAUACGGGCCUGAAGGCCAAAUUCUGCCCACUAUCUGUUUUUCUACAGCUUGAGAGCUAAAAAUGGUUUUCACAUGACCGGGGGCGGGGGGGGGAUCAAAAGAAACAUAAGAUUUUGGCACAUGUGAAAAUCACAGGAAACUAACAUUUCAGUGUCCAUUAAUAACGUUUUAUUGGACAUGGUGGUGUGGUGGUUGUUUUCAUCAUGGCAUGCAGCAGCUUGAUGUGGGAUCUCAGUUCCCAGACCAGGGAUUGAACCCAGGCUGCAGCGGUAAAAGCACUGAGUCCUAACCACUAGACCACCAGGGAACUCCCUUAAUAAAGUUUUCUUGGCGCACACCAACACCCAUUCAUUUAGAUCUCUUUGAUGGCUUUUUCGUGAACUACAGUGGCAGAGCUGAGUCGUAGUGACAGGGACCAGCCUACAAGGGUUCCCAUUUGGCCCUUCACAGAAGACCUUUGCCGACCCCUGCUCCGAAAGGCACCAUUGAUGAGCCACAGCUCCACGGAGUUCUGAACACCCUGCCUGCCUUGACAGGCUGCUGUCUUUCUCUGGGUGCUGAGCCCACUGUAGGAUCUCAGAGGGAAAACAAAAUAGAUUUUAGCCCCCUUUGGACUUCCAGGUACUAAAGAUGUGCACCAGAAGUUCCCGUCGUGGCACAGCGGAAACGACCCCGACUAGGAACCGUGAGGUUGUGGGUUCGAUCCCUGGCCUUGUUCAAAAGGAGUAUGGGGGGCAGAGCACCAAGUUGAAUGGGGGGAGGGGCAGGAUGCAGAAAGUUGGGGUGGGGGGAGUAGCUGCUCCUGGGUCAGGGCUCAGAGGAAGUUCCUGGGCCAUAGCUUCCUUCCUGUGGCAGGGACCCCUGCUCUGGGCACCCGUUCCCUUGUGGGCCAUCGCCUGGCCAGGAGGGUAGGGGUAGGGGGCGUGGUGAGGCACAGCUUUGUGGGGCCAACAUGGCAGGUAAUAGAAAAGUAUGAGGAUGGACAAGGAAUGGGGAACACAAGAGACACAGCGGCAGGGCCAGAGGAAAGGGACACCCAGAACAGUCCUGACUGAGGGUUCUGGGGAAGGUAGGUCCUGCCCUUUAGGUGGACCGAACCUGGGAGGCCCAGCACAAUCUGCCCUCCCACCCCACACAUCAGUUCUCAGUUUAUUCCCCACAGAACCCGAGACAAGGUCCAGGCAGCUAGAGCUUAGCCUGGCUCUGUACCCCUGUCUGGGUGACCUUGGGCAAGUCUCUGUCCCUCUCUGGGCUUUAGUUUCCUCUUCUGUCAAUCAUCUAGAGAGGAAUUGAUUUCUAUGGACCCACUCCUGUUCCAGCUUGGCCCAUGGAAGCCUCCUGGUUCCCUGGGGCUCAGAAACUUUAGUGUUUACCUCCAGGAUCAAGUUCCAAUUUGAGUGGUCAGGAACCUUCUGGAUCUGGUACCAACCUACCUACUCAAGCCUCAUCUUUCCCUCUUUGCAACAGUCCAGGAGCCUAGAUCCUCCCCGGCCCUUGGGUCUGUGUGCCAGCCUCUUCCCCUCUCUCCAUGAAGUGCCCCCACUUGAGGAACCAGCCCCUCCUGCAGGGCUGGCUUUAUGGACACGUGACCCAUGCAGUUAGCCAAGGCCCCGUGCUUAGAAAGACCCUGGGCUUGGUUUCAUACUUCAGGGGCCAUCCUGUAAUUAAAAAGUUUAGGGGCACGAUCUUUAAGGUAUUAGCCUGCUAAAGCAAUAAAGGUAUCUUUUUUAUAUUUACCCCCCCCAAAAAAAUUUGAACAAGGGGCCCUAAAUUUCCACUUUGUGCUGGGCUCCCCAAAUUAUGCCCCAGACCUGCCUUCCUCCCCUUUCAUCACUCCCUCCUUAGCCCCACCUCCCUGUGACCAGAACUGGCAGCCCAUGUGACAGAAGCAGAGACCUUCUGGACAUCAGAGGCCCAGGCCUGAUGUCACCUGAGGAAAAUGGCUCAGGGACUGUCAGGGGAUGUGGAGAACAGAAGAGGCAGAGACCCUGACUGUGUCUUAGAAGGAAAGCUGGCUUCUGUUCCUAAAGUCCCUGAGUCUGAUGAGGAGACAAAGCAACUGGCCCGGGAAGGUCCCAGUCUCCUGAGGGCACAGUUGUGGUGGGAGAAAUCGAAUCUCAAUUUCCUCCUCUCUUUGACCCUUGCUGAGACAAUGAGAGGAGAGGUGGCUGCUUCUGGAGCUGGAGAAGUACAAGCCGGGGACCCCCUCUGCCCCUAAUCCUUAACCUGCAGAGCUCUUGCUCCGAAAGCAUCUCUUCAAGCAUCUCCAAAGAUGUUGCCUACCUACACAUCUCAGUAAGGGACCUGAGGUAGUGGCUUCCCUCCUGGCAAAUGGCCUCACCGGCUAGAGUGGACAGGCCCCUCGGGCGGCAGCCCCUGCAGCCCCCUUCUGGUCAGGGGCCUGGCUAAGGCUGCCUUCCCUUCUCUCUGCUCCCUGGCCCUGAGGGUGUGUGGUCUGGCCUCCCUGGGGCCUGGUGAGUCAGGCCCCACACCCACUCUGGAGCCACAAAGCAGAGCAGUGGCCUGAGCCUCUGCUCACCUGGAGGAGCCUGAUAGUCCUGUAUGCCGGGGCUGAGAUCCUGCUGAGACCCCAGGGCAAUGACUUUGGGCCAGUCCUAGGCCCCAGGAACGGGAGGAGGGGAAGUGGGAGGGGUGGCUGGCCUGUCCCCACUGGCUUCUGGCUUUCCCUGGCAGCACCUUCGUUAACCACAGCCUUGCCUACAGCACUGCCUGCGUCUGGGCCUCUGCUAACGGACCCACCAACUCCAGUCAUCACUGAAGAUCUGACUUCAGCGUCUCCGCCUCCAGGAAGACUUCCUUCAGCUUCAGGGUGUCUCAAGUGUCCCCCUGGCCUUUCCCAUGCUGCUCCCUUGGGAAGCACUCGCCCAUGUGUGCCUCUGGCCCCAUCAGCUCGGGUCUUUCUGAGGGCAAGUCUGUGUCGUCUGUGUCCUUGACCCCUGGCAGGUCUGCCGCUGUGAAUGAAGCUCUCAGGUGUGGUGGGACAGCCAGCCUGGGGCAGGUGGGAGGGGGGACAAGUCAGGGUUUCUUCCCUUCAGACGUGGGCAGAGUGUCUCCCAUCUGCCAUAAGAAUUAGAGCUGCUCGUGUGAACCCACGUACCUGCAGAGUCGUAGUCACAGGUGACGAAGCUGGGGCUCAUCGGGACAAAGUGGCUCCAAUCACAACUGGCCACUAAGGUCUGCCUCUGGAGGCUGCUUUGUCUGAGACUCAGCUGCCCGGCCCAGGUAUGCUCUGCUCUGAGGCAGGGGACUGAACAAGCUGACCUCUCAUGGGCCUCCAGGUCAGGAUGGGAGCCUUCCAGUGACACAAGCUGAGGCUCCAACCAGGUCUCGGCCCCCUGACCUGCUCACCCACAAGGCAAGUGCCAGCCCUCCCACCAGCCCAACUGGCUCCCAGUUCAGCUGCAGAAACGGCCAAACGUCUCUCUGGAACCCAAACAGGAAGCUGGGGAGAAGGGGGCCAACGGCCGGGACCUCUGAGGCUCCUCCAGGAAACAUGUGGGGAGGGAGAUGGGUGGCUGGGGCAAGGUCAGGCCUGCUCACCCCAUAACCCCCACCCCAGGAGCCCCCCGCAAGCACUGAGAAUCCCCACCUCAUCUCCCUGCUGGCAGGGGACCUGGGAGGGCCUGGGGAAAACAGUUGUCCUCUUACAGAAGACGCUAGGGGGAGGGUUAGCUUUCAGAACCAUCACUCCCGGGUGAAUUUUUUUCCAUAUAUUUUAUUUUUUGCUUUUUUAGGGCCGCACCUGUGGCAUAGGGAAGUUCCCAAGCUAGGGGUUGAAUCAGAGCUACAGCUGCCAGCCUACACCACAGCCACAGCAACUCAGGAUCCUUAACACACUGAGUGAGGCCAGGGAUGCAACCCACGUCCUCAUGGAUCCUAGUUGGGUUCAAUACCGCUGAGCCAUGAUGGGAACUCUCCAUAGAUUUUAUUUUUUUGUAUUAUUUAUUUAUUUCCUGGCCGUCACCUUGACACAUGGAAGUUCCCAGGCCGGGGAUCAAACCCACGCCACAGCAGUGACCAAGCCACUGCAGUGACAACACCAGAUCCUUAACCCACUGCGCCACAAGGGAAUCUUCCUUUUUUUUUUUUUUUUUUUUAAGAACAGUUUUAGAUUCAUAGCGAAACUGAGCGGCAAAUACAGAGUACCCAUAUACCCCCUGCCCCACACACGCCUAGACUCCCCCACGAUCAACAUCCCCACCCAGCGUGGUACGUUUUUUUUCCAAUUGAUGAACCUACAUGAAGCAUCAUUAUCACCCAAGGCCCAUUAGGGUUCACUGUUGGUGUUGGACAUUCCAUGGGUUUGGACAAAUGUAUGAUGACAGGUAUCCACCGUUAGAGGAUUAUCCAGACUAUUGUCACUACCCUAAAAGUCCUCUGAGCUCUGCCUCUGUGCUCACCCUACUCCCCAGCCCAGCCCUGGCAACCUUUAAUCUUUGUACUGCCUGCAGAGUUUGACCAUUUCCAGAAUGUCAUAGUUGGAAUCAUAGAGUCCGUAGCCUUUUUUCAGAUGGGCUUCUUUCACUUAGUAACACGCAGUGCAUUUCCUCCCUGUCUUUUUAUAGUUUGUUGUUCAUUCACUUUAGCACUGAAUAAUAUCCCAUUGUCUGGAUGUAUCGGAGUUUAUGUCUCCAUUUACCUACUGAAGAACAUCUUGGCUGCUUUCAGGUUGUGGCAGUUGCCAAUAAAGCUGCUAUAAGCAUCUGUGUGCAGGUUUUUCUGUCGACAUACGUGUUCAACUCAUUUAGGUAAAUAUCAAGAUCGUGAUUGCUAGAUUAUAAAUAGCACGUUUAAUUUAAGAAAAAAAAAAAAAAAAAA